UACGGGGGGGGCAAGCGUUGUUCGGAAUUACUGGGCGUAAAGGCUCGUAGGCGGCCAACUAAGUCGGACGUGAAAUCCCCAGGCUCAACCUGGGAACUGCGUCCGAUACUGGAUGGCUUGAAUUCGGGAGAGGGAUGCAGAAUUCCAGGUGUAGCGGUGAAAUGCGUAGAUAUCUGGAGGAACACCGGUGGCGAAGGCGGGUCUCUGGGCCGAUACUGACGCUGAGGAGCGAAAGCGUGGGGAGCGAACAGG
rnacentral:rRNA from 1 species